AUUGAACGCUGGCGGCAUGCCUUACACAUGCAAGUCGAACGGUAACAGGCCGCAAGGUGCUGACGAGUGGCGAACGGGUGAGUAAUGCAUCGGAACGUGCCCAGUCGUGGGGGAUAACUGCUCGAAAGAGCAGCUAAUACCGCAUACGACCUGAGGGUGAAAGCGGGGGACCGCAAGGCCUUGCGCGAACGGACCGGCCGAUGGCAGAUUAGGUAGUUGGUGGGAUAAAAGCUUACCAAGCCGACGAUCUGUAGCUGGUCUGAGAGGACGACCAGCCACACUGGGACUGAGACACGGCCCAGACUCCUACGGGAGGCAGCAGUGGGGAAUUUUGGACAAUGGGCGAAAGCCUGAUCCAGCCAUGCCGCGUGCAGGAUGAAGGCCUUCGGGUUGUAAACUGCUUUUGUACGGAACGAAAAGACUCUUUCUAAUAAAGAGGGUCCAUGACGGUACCGUAAGAAUAAGCACCGGCUAACUACGUGCCAGCCGCCGCAGUAAUAC
rnacentral:rRNA from 1 species